UAGUUAUUAAAAUUACACAUCCGUUACAUUGUCAUGUAGAGGAAUCUGACUUGUACAAUAUCUUCUAGUAUGCCCUGUUGCACCGCACCUACCGCACUUACGAGGCUGGGGAAACUCUCCGGUAGAUGGUAUUCUAGACGUACGUGUACGUCCAGGAGUACGUGGUCCAACUGCUGGUGGCAACAAGUUAUUCAGUGGGAGAAUGUGGUCGGGCACUUCCCACUCAACUUCAUUUGGUACAGGAAAUAUUGUUUCCGCAUAUGCUGCUCUCCAAUAAUCAGUCAUGUAAUACACAUUGCAUAAGGUGUGUGGUGGUAAUCCUCUAUGCAUAGCCACUGCCACUGCAUGUGUACAUGGAAAACUCUCCAACUGAAACCGUCUACACGUGCACGUGUUAUCAUUCAAGUCCACAAUGUAUCUGAAAUUACGUGUACA
rnacentral:lncRNA from 1 species